GGGGCCGACCGGUUUUGACAGCAAGCCGAGGUGAUAAGUAAGCAUGUCGUGAAACGUUGUGUACUCACGUAAAUCAGGCACUUCAACUUUUUAACUGGCAACAACAAUUACGCUUUAGCGGCCUAAUUGACUGAAUUAUAGUAAGUCUUGGCAGAUUCUCAACAAGGUUGAGACGCUAAAUGUCACACAGCUGCCCAUUUCUCAUGGCGGCUGAUUCUGUGGCACAGAGAAAUGAGAAUAGUUGGUAAGAUGUUUCUGCUUGCCAAUGAAGUUUAAUGAAACUAAGGUGUGCUUAUGGGUUUCUUUACCCUCAACACACACGAAAAAGCAAGAAAAGAAUAAACAUGUAGAAAGCUUAUGAUUUCCUUGUUUGGACGCGGGUUCGACUCCCGCCGGCUCCACAA
rnacentral:tmRNA from 1 species